rnacentral:rRNA from 1 species
UACGAAGGGGGCUAGCGUUGCUCGGAAUUACUGGGCGUAAAGGGCGCGUAGGCGGAUAGUUUAGUCAGAGGUGAAAGCCCAGGGCUCAACCUUGGAAUUGCCUUUGAUACUGGCUGUCUUGAGUACGGGAGAGGCGAGUGGAAUUCCUGGUGUAGCGGUGAAAUGCGCAGAUAUCAGGAGGAACACCGAUUGCGAAGGCAGCUCGCUGGAACGUUACUGACGCUGAGACGCGAAAGCGUGGGAGCAAACAGG